rnacentral:tRNA from 2 species
GCCCUCUUAGCUCAGUGGUAGAGCACUUCCAUGGUAAGGAAGGGGUCAUCGGUUCAAAUCCGAUAGAGGGCU